AUAAAUAUCAUAUGCAUUAAUAUGGUUAAACAAUACAAAAGCAACAUAAAACAAUUUUCCCGAGAAAAGGGGUGAAUCUGCUUUGUGCCCUGUCUCCAGUCUCCUCCUGGUGCCCCCCCCCCCCCACUCCCAGUGGUCUGUUCUAUAAUGCCUCAAUUCGGUAUUGGUAAACACCUGUUUGAACAUGGCCUCGAAACGGCAACAGGAGUCGGGAGCGGAGAAAAGAAAGAAGAAGAGGAAGCGUGAUGAAACUCAGGCGUCGCUUGCCGGAGGAUCUCAAGGACAGGAUGAACCAUCCAGUAGUAGUGCCAUCCCUGGACAUCAACCACCAGCCAUUGUAGACCCUGCAACAAUCCCUAGCCAAGAAGAACAAGAACCAUCAACCACCAGUUCAGAUUGCCAAGCUGCUGCUUUGCCGCAGUGGAUUUCUUGCUGUUGGGCCGAGGUCCUGAUACGCUGGUGGCUCUAUUGUAAUUUGUGGUUUCAUCAUCUGUUAUCAUUGCAGACUGUGAAGGCGCUACAUGGAAACUGAUCUUUCCUCCCUGCUUUUUCAUGUACCGUGGUGAGCGUCGGCGGUGACGGAUUUAUGUUCAUACAUCUUUGCCCAGUUGGGGUGAAGUGUAGAUUGCCAUGUCUUUAACGUGUGACACAUGUUGUUGAUUUUUUUUAUAGAUUCCCUGCAGUGCUUAUCCUGUCUUCCACUUACAAUCGUACAAUUUUAUAGUUUAAAAUGUAUUAAAUGUAGAUUAAAUAAAAUAAAUUGUCUUGGCUGUUUAGAAAGAUUUUGUUUUGUAUUAGUGUUAAACCUUGUGAACUGGCUGUAUGCCUACGGCUCAGUCCUAUUGAAACGGGUACCUCCCUCGGUUCACAUAAAGGAGGUACAAAAGCAGGAAAUUGCUAAUUAACCAGCAUCAGCUAAUUACAUUUAAAUUCAUGUCUACUGCCAUUAAUGUAACACCACAGACUGCCCUCCAGUUCAACACAGAGUCACUGUAAACUCCAUCACAGUACUGCUAACUAACCAGUUUAGCCUGUGGUAAAAUGGUUAGUAUUUUCAUGCAACCUUUGAAUACUACAAGUUAUUAAAAUAAAAAAAUGAACUUCAGUAGCAUGAAUAAUGACAUUACCUC
ensembl:lncRNA